GGUAAGCCCGAGUGUUACAUGGGGUUGGCCAAAACGUUCGUUCAGGUUUUUCUAGAAUAUUUUGCAGGAAAACACGAACAAACUUUUUGGCCAGCCCAAUAUUACUUUCAUAUUUAUAGA
rnacentral:precursor_RNA from 8 species